rfam:Solanum lycopersicum cultivar Heinz 1706 chromosome 3, whole genome shotgun sequence.
GUGAGCCGUAUGAUGGGCAAAUAUCUCCUGCGGUUCGGAGAGGACUCAGCUAUUAGUUAGUACCCCCUUGGUUUCGAGGUGGACCUUUUCACUCUAU